rnacentral:rRNA from 1 species
ACCCCUAAGGCGAGGCCGAAAGGCGUAGUCGAUGGGAAACAGGUUAAUAUUCCUGUACUUGGUGUUACUGCGAAGGGGGGACGGAGAAGGCUAUGUUAGCCGGGCGACGGUUGUCCCGGUUUAAGCAUGUAGGCUGGUUAUCCAGGCAAAUCCGGAUAACCAAGGCUGAGGUGUGAUGACGAGGCACUACGGUGCUGAAGUAACAAAUGCCCUGCUUCCAGGAAAAGCCUCUAAGCAUCAGGUAACAUUAAAUCGUACCCCAAACCGACACAGGUGGUCAGGUAGAGAAUACCAAGGCGCUUGAGAGACCUCGGGUGAAGGAACUAGGCAAAAUGGUGCCGUAACUUCGGGAGAAGGCACGCUGGUGUGU